CAUGUUAAUGUCCAUUUUACAGAUUUGGGGUGCCAUUUUAUAAUUUUUUUAUAUUUUUUUCUAUUUAUGCAUGAGUUUUGGCUAUUUUUUUUUUUAAAUUCGAAAAAUCAAUUUUUAAUGGUUGUAUUGCUGUUUUAAUCAUGUCAUAUGAUGUGUUAAUCAUAGUAGAACAUUAGAACAUGUUAAUGUGCAUUUUACAGAUUUGUGGUGUCAUUUUAUCAUUUUUUUCUAUUUUCGAAUUAGUGACUUUAUGUUUUUAUUUGCUUAUAUUGGACAGGUUUUGCCUUGGAGCUUCUUAGGGUUUAGUUAGAAUAUAAAAUCAUCUUUAUUAACAUAGGUCAUACACUCAUACUCAUAUCUAAUUAUCUAAUAUCUACCUAAACCUAAAGAAAUGUCUGGGUUUAGCCAAUAACAAGUAAGUGAGGAUAUUGGAUGACAAUAUUGUGAGAGGGUUAGUGGUACUAGGCAACACAUGAAGUGCAAGUAUUGUGAUAGACUAGUGACUGGUGGAAUUACUCGUCUCAAACAACAUUUCGCACAUCGAAAGGGUCAAGUUACGCCAUAUAGUAGAGUACCGAAAGAGAUAAUGCUUUUAAUGCAAGCUAGUCUGGAUGAGUUGAAGGGUAAACGUGCUGCUGUACAAAAGAAGAAAGAUGAUAUUUUGGAUGCAGCUCGACAGGAGGUGUUUGGUCCUGAAUAUAUGGGCGUUCGUGAUGAAGAUAUUAUUGAUUCUGACGAAGAUUCAGAU